AACAAAGCGCUUCACUUCACGCCUUGGGCAGACAAGCACAUGUACAAAAAGUCAAGCCAACAAAAUCGAACACUCAACAAGGUGUAUUAUGCAUAAUAAAUUGAAUCAAAUUAUACAUCAUCACGAAAUUUGACCAACAUUCUAAGGGCAUACUUUCAGCUAUGUUACGUUGUCUUACAAUGUCUUUGUAUAAAUGCUGAAUGCAUAUGCAAAUUGUAAAUGCUUUCAGUCUUCUGGACAUACUGGUACUAAUGGCAUGCACUUCAGUCAGUUCACACAUGUACAAUAGUCAAACUCUUGCUUAUACACUUUGUUCAAGAGGCUGUGUGCAUCAAAUCCAAUUCUUAUAUGCUCAAAAGGAUCAGCAUUAGUGCCCAAACCAGGCCAAGGUAAACAGAUAUUGAAACAUAAAUUAAACUAAGCCAGAGAAUGAAUCUACUGAUUGCUCUCUCCUUUUUUUCCCUGGUGAUCCUAAUGGUCAUUUGGACAGGGUCAGUUUGCCAGUAAACAGACAAUUCAUAAAGUUUCUAAACUCCAAAAUAUAUGUGCACGAUGUUACUGCGAUUUACAUGCAUAGACUCACAAAGGGUUUUCCUAUUGUUCAAGCUUUUUGAGUUGUACUACAGGAGCAUAAUAGCAUAUCUGUCCAUAAUUUCAUUGAUGCACAACGCAAAUAAAAACACGUUGCAUUGAUUCAGCACUGCUUAUUUCUCAAACAGUUCACCCAGGAGAAUUUCAUGAGAAAAAAUUUGAUGCUGUGCAGAUAAAUCC